rnacentral:rRNA from 1 species
AGAGUUUGAUCCUGGCUCAGGACGAACGCUGGCGGCGUGCUUAACACAUGCAAGUCUAGGGGAAAGUUUUCUUCGGAAGAUGAGUACACUGGCGCACGGGUGAGUAAUAUAUAAGUAAUCUGCCCUUGGGUUUGGAAUAACGUCGAGAAAUUGGCGCUAAUACCAAAUAAUGCAGCGGCAUCGCAGGGUGAUGUUGUUAAAGGUGCUUGCACCGCCUAAGGAUGGGCUUGUAUUCGAUUAGCUAGUUGGUAGGGUAACGGCCUACCAAGGCGACGAUCGAUAGCUGGUCUGAGAGGAUGAUCAGCCACACUGGAACUGAGACACGGCCCACACUCCUACGGGAGGCAGCAGUGGGGAAUAUUGCGCAAUGGGGGAAACCCUGACGCAGCGACGCCGCGUGCGGGAAGAAGGCCUUCGGGUCGUAAACCGCUGUCAGGAGGGAAGAAACUGUUAGGGUAUAAUACCCCCUUUCACUGACGGUACCUC